CAAACUUUGUCACACUAAAGAAUUUUAUUUGCACUUGGAACUGAAAGCUUUAUGUUUUAGGGAAGUUGAUUUGUUUGUUGUACUGAUUUACAGACCACAACCUUAAAAUCAUGCUGUGUUUUAGUUCAAUAAAAAAAAAGCAGUGUGUGACUUAAUUGCCAUUACUAAUCAUAGAAAAAUGCCAUUGUGGAACUGUGUGGGCAACUACAGAGGAAACAACGGAAAGAUGGAGAGCGGGAGUAGUUGGGAGCCAUUAGCAGCAUGACCUUGGGCUAGUGAAGCCCCAGUCUCGUGGAAGUAAAAAUAUUUCCUACUUCAUGGUACUCAAUGAAGAAUUAUGUCUGGAACAUAAUUGAGAUCAUGCCUGGAACAUGGUAAAGAGAUAUUCCACAUCCAGCACUAUUCCCAGGGGUCUGUU